GGAGGGGUCGCAUAGUGGUCUAGUGCGUACGCUUGGAAAGCGUAUGUACCGCAAGGUACCGAGGGUUCGAAUCCCUCCCCCUCCGCCA
rnacentral:tRNA from 1 species